GUUUUAAUAAUUUAUAUAAAAUAUUGGUCUUGUAAACCAAAAAUAAGCUAGUCUUUUAAAACU
rnacentral:tRNA from 1 species